ACCCGGGUCCUUGGGGCCUGGUGGGUGUUGCGGAGGCUCCCUGGCGGGUAUGGUUGCCAUGGAAACCCGCGCGCGCGCGCCCGUGUCCGGAGGUUCGGGGGUGUUCUACUCUCCGCCAGCCUAUAGCCCCGGAGCGGCCGAGGGACUUGUCCUAACUGGCCCCGGGAACGCCGAGAACAGCGUUGGCUGCGACGCUGAGCUAGUCCCGCCACAGACGUGGGGAAGGAGUCUCCGGGGAGCGCGCAGGGGUCGGGAGGGGGCCCCUCGGGAGUGGUUUCGGCGGGACCAGUGCUCAGCUUGCGGGAACAGGCGUUUGGAGGUUUGAGUAGGCUCAUCAAACGCUGUGCCGGGACCUGCCUCUUUGGUACUGAUGAUGCCCUGACUCGGGAGCCUCUGGCCUGGCCGGGGUCGUUGACACCGUGAGUGGGGCUGGAGGAGGUGGGGGUGGGGCCCGGAGCGAGACGCCGGGCCCCGGGGUCCCGGAAUGCGCGCCAAGCUGGGGACUUUGCACUUGCAAGGUGGCUCUACUGAGCAAACUGUGCAGUUAGCUGCACUUGGCUAACAAGUUAGCAGGAGAAGUUGCACAUGCCCCCAGCCACACCCACUGUGCCUGGGCCUCGCCAAGCCCCCCGCAGAACUAAAACCUGAAAAAAUCCGCCCAUCGGCCUCCCUAUUAUCAGUAUUUACGGGAAGUUAAGGGUGCACCUGCUCCAGAAACUGGAAGAGAAAAACCGGCAUGUCCCGGAUAACAACAUGGAGAGGAUGUGGAAAAAUUGGAGCCCUCGUGUAUUGCUGGUGGGAAUGUAAAAUGGGGCAGCUGCCUUGGAAAACAGUUUGAAAGUUACUGAGAAAGUUAAACAUAGAAUUACCAUAGGACACAACCAUCCCACAUCCUGGGCGUGCGCCCAAAGAGAACUGAAAACCUAUGUCCUAUGAAAACUUGUAUGUGAUUGUUAACAGAAGCAUCAUUUGUAACAUUCAAGAAGUGAAAACAGCCCAAACAUCUAUCAACUGCUGGAUGGAUAAAUGAAACAUGGGAGGCGCACGCAAUGCAAUAGUACUUGACCGUCAAAAGCAGUGAAGGGCCGGUGCUCGCCACAAUGUGGAGAAACCUUGGCAACGUGCCAGGUGGAAAGAAACCAGAGACAAAGGCCUCAUCCUGUGUGGUUCCAUCUGCACACAAUGUCCAGAACAGGCAAAUCUGUAGACACAAGUCCGUUUGGGAGAGGUCAAUGAAGAGUGACUGAUCUGGGUACAGGGCUUCUUUUUAGAUUGAUGAAUUGUUCUGGAAUUACAUAGUGGUGGCAGCUAAACUCGUGAAUGUCCUAAAAACAACUGAACUGCAUUUUACAGCAUGUGAAUUAUACCUUUAGAAAAUGCACAGGCACACUAGAACAAAGGAAGAACACGAACAUGUUAUAAGCAGCCGUUCCUAGGUGAAGGGAUUAUGGGUGCAAAAGGUGAUUUUAUUAAAGCACAGGGAGGACCCUGGGCAGGAAGAGCUGCCUUUUUUUUCAAUUUUUAGAGUGCAGUCCUUCCAGAGACCUCUGUGGAAAAGCAGUGGGACCGGUCCUGCAACGGAUGGCGUGGGAGGCCCCGCAAGCCCCCGCCCCCAACUCCCCGCCUCGGAAAGAGACUUUGAGAAAUCGGGACUCCGCCCCCUGCGCCCC